CACAAUACAAAAUACAUAUUUCUAAAAGACCACCAAGAACAUGGCCCACAACUGACAAAUACAUACAAGUAAAAAGAAAAAAGUCUUCUCCACAGGUACAAGCCUUCGUCGACCAAUUGAUCUCCCCCAACAGGCAGUCCGUUAACCUGCAACUUCUACUCUACAGUGGUGGAAAAAUGAGGAAUGAGCUAUAAAGCCUAGUAAGAGAGUCUAGAAGUUGUGUACCUAUAAUAUAUUUAUUUGGCAUUAUAAAUAAUUAUUUUAUCUAUAAGCAAUCACAAUGGGAAAAGCAUCAUGUUAGUCAUCACAUGAUAUCACAUGAUAGUCAUGGUAGUCAUGGUAUAACAUUCAUACUAACACAUGAAUAAUUCAUGGUAUUGAUUGAAUAACAUUCUCAUCCAUCACUUGUAUAUCACCUAACAUUCAAUAAAUAGCAUUCUCACUCAUUACUCUAAUAUCACAUAGCAUUCAAUAAAUAGCAUUCUCACUCAUUACUCUGAUAUCACAUAGCAUUCAAUAAAUAGCAUUCUCACUCAUUACUUUAAUAUGCACAACUUCUGGAAAUUUCUUCCCAUAGUGAUGUGUUUUCACAUUUAGCCGUGUAACUUUCAAUUUAGGAAGAAUUUCAAUAAGUAUUCAACAUGUGAUUACAAGCUCCCCCACAAAUCUUUAAAAUGACUGUGGUUCGGAAGAAAAUAAGCAUCAUUUGGUCAUUUAAAAUGCAUGACCACAGAAACAUCAACUCUGCAAUUUAUUAUAGCUGUCCACUAUGACCUAUCUACACAAUUGAGAAUAUAGCUUCUUUUUCAUGAAAAAUUUGGACAUGGUUUUAACAUGAACAUUAUAGUGGAUACAUAAACCGUUCAAAUGGCGGUGGUUUGAAUGAAUUUUAACACUGGUUGGUCAUUCAAAAGUUUGGUGCAAGGUGGACGGUGACUGGAAAUCUGUUGUCUGUGAAAUAGUGACAUAUACUUACUUUUUAAAGUAUAAAUCUCAACAUGUGCAAAAUCUCACGAUUUUCUAAAAAUAAAAGUGUUAUUAGACACACAUAGCUUUCAUUCAAGACUAAUUUGAGUUCAUUUGGACCCCGUUUGGUCACUGAACCAUUUUUCACAAAAACAGCUAUAGCUCUUGAAAUUUUCAUUUUUGCCCUUUUCUUUAUUAAACUGUUCAUAUAGGCAUAAGCACAAACCAUUCACAGUCAUGACUUUCAACUCACAGUUGCUAAACAAUCACCAUACACUCUAUUUAUACUAAAAUUCAUAAGAAUAUUGCCAAGCAUCAUCAUUGUUCAUAAAGAUUACACACGCAUGGUUUCUAAUAUACAACUUCAAGGAUUCCAAAUUCAAUCUUACACAUACAUACAUCCAAACACUAUGCAUAAAACAUUCAUGAUGCACACUUCUAAAUCCCCUUACCAUAGGUGCACACAACCGUACAUUCCUUCUACCACAAAAGCUCUUCCACUGCCACACCCUGCUGCUACCACUUGUGAGGUAAGAGAACCUUCUCAAGCCCUUCACUUGUCUUGCC
rnacentral:lncRNA from 1 species